UACGUAGGGUGCAAGCGUUGUCCGGAAUUAUUGGGCGUAAAGAGCUCGUAGGCGGUCUGUCGCGUCUGCUGUGAAAACUUGGGGCUUAACCCCGGGCCUGCAGUGGGUACGGGCAGACUAGAGUGUGGUAGGGGAGACUGGAAUUCCUGGUGUAGCGGUGAAAUGCGCAGAUAUCAGGAGGAACACCGGUGGCGAAGGCGGGUCUCUGGGCCAUAACUGACGCUGAGGAGCGAAAGCGUGGGGAGCGAACAGG
rnacentral:rRNA from 1 species